rnacentral:rRNA from 1 species
UGGGGAAUUUUGGACAAUGGGCGAAAGCCUGAUCCAGCAAUGCCGCGUGUGUGAAGAAGGCCUUCGGGUUGUAAAGCACUUUUGUCCAGAAAGAAAUCCUUGGCUCUAAUACAGUCGGGGGAUGACGGUACCGGAAGAAUAAGCACCGGCUAACUACGUGCCAGCAGCCGCGGUAAUACGUAGGGUGCAAGCGUUAAAUCGGAAUUACUGGGCGUAAAGCGUGCGCAGGCGGUUUGCUAAGACCGAUGUGAAAUCCCCGGGCUCAACCUGGGAACUGCAUUGGUGACUGGCAGGCUAGAGUAUGGCAGAGGGGGGUAGAAUUCCACGUGUAGCAGUGAAAUGCGUAGAGAUGUGGAGGAAUACCGAUGGCGAAGGCAGCCCCCUGGGCCAAUACUGACGCUCAUGCACGAAAAGCGUGGGGAGCAAAACAGGAUUAGAUACCCCUGGUAGUCCACGCCCUAAAACGAUGUCAACUAGUUGUUGGGGGAUUCAUUUUCCUUAGUAACGUAGCUAACGCGUGAAGUUGACCGCCUGGGGAGUACGUCGCAAGAUUAAAAACUCAAAAGGAAUUGACGGGGGUCAUA